rnacentral:rRNA from 1 species
CCUACGGGAGGCAGCAGUAGGGAAUAUUGCUCAAUGGGGGAAACCCUGAAGCUGCAACGCCGCGUGGAGGAUGAAGGUUUUCGGAUUGUAAACUCCUUUUGUUAGAGAAGAUAAUGACGGUAUCUAACGAAUAAGCACCGGCUAACUCUGUGCCAGCAGCCGCGGUAAUACGGAGGGUGCAAGCGUUACUCGGAAUCACUGGGCGUAAAGAGCGCGUAGGCGGGAUAGCAAGUCAGAUGUGAAAUCCUAUGGCUUAACCAUAGAACUGCAUUUGAAACUGUUAUUCUAGAGUAUGGGAGAGGUAGGUGGAAUUCUUGGUGUAGGGGUAAAAUGCGUAGAGAUCGAGAGGAAUACUCAUUGCGAAGGCGAGCUGCUGGAAAAUAACUGACGCUGAUGCGCGAAAGCGUGGGGAGCAAACAGGAUUAGAUACCCUUGUAGUC